CAAGGAAGUUGACAUGUCAUCACUUCAUUUUUUUGCGCCUGCGCAUAAAUCUGAGAAACGUGAGUUUGUCAUCAUUUUUUAUCUAGACAUAGGAUAGGUUGUGUGAAAAUAUUACUGAUGUUUAACGUUAAAAAUGGACCAAAAGAUUAAUGCUAAACAACAUUUGACAUGUUUGAACGAACAUAAAUAGAUUAUUUACUAGGUUUUUUUAGCUUUUCGGCGUGAUUUUACCAGCCCCCCAACCACGUUUUGUGGGAGCAUAAUGAACGCUAAGUACUUGGUGUUAUUUGGACAUAAAUUAUGAACUUUGUCAAAAGAAACCACAUUUGUUCCGGACCUGGAAUGCCUUCCGGACCUGGGAUCCUGCCUUCUGAUGGAGAUAAUCAAAGAGCCCAGUUUUAAGGACACAGGUCUGGUGAAGCGGAAAGCUUGGCUGUCGCCUGGCGUUUGCGUUCAACCGUGGACCAGUGGAGUGACAUUUGGAGGCGGGGGAACAAAAAACGAUCAGAGCAGACGGACGGACAGGGCAGGGUUCCCCCUCGGGACCGGACGAGAGCAGGGUUGGAGGUAGAGAGAAGGGCAGGCAAACAGCGGAGAUGAGCAGCAGCAACGAGGCAGAUGUCGAGAGGUCCCUGGUCCAAAUGACACGCUCAAGGGGCCCCUGCAGCUAUGACACUCAGAACCGGAUAUGUGCCAAAUUAAGUGAGUGGCAAGAGAAAAAGGAGAAAUGAAACUUGGAGGCUGCAGCUGCUGAAGAAAGGAAGAAACCCGCGUGAAAUAGCAAGCAUAGCUCACCUAUCAAGUCAACAUGACCGUAUGUGUAAAAUGUUUGUCACGGAUCCCCCCGGUACUGCUGCUCAUUCUGUUCACCAGUUCCGGAGGGCUACGUCACCGGCUUUCUAGGCUUCACUGAACGGGAUUCAUUAUCAUCAACCCCAGACUGUCUUGUCUGAUUACACACACCUGGC
rnacentral:lncRNA from 1 species